UACGGAGGGUGCAAGCGUUAUCCGGAUUUACUGGGUUUAAAGGGUGCGUAGGUGGGUCUGUAAGUCAGUGGUGAAAUCUCCGAGCUUAACUCGGAAACUGCCAUUGAUACUAUAGGUCUUGAAUUAUCUGGAGGUAAGCGGAAUAUGUCAUGUAGCGGUGAAAUGCUUAGAUAUGACAUAGAACACCAAUUGCGAAGGCAGCUUACUACGGAUAUAUUGACACUGAGGCACGAAAAGCGUGGGGAUCAAACAGG
rnacentral:rRNA from 1 species